CGUUAAAUCAACAUCACUGCUACAAUCACCACGUGUACAAUAUUAUCACGAUUAUCAUCACUAAAUUAUUAUUUUUAAUUUAAAUAUAGAGGGAGCUAGUUAAAGAUAUUUAGAGAAUGAUAGAAAUAAAAAGAGCUAUAGACAGAGAUAUUAAGAUUAUCAUAUAUAUAAAGAUAAAUAGAGGGAGAGAGAUAUAUAGAAAUGUAUAAAUCAAUAUGUGUUGAUUUUGAAAUAACUCUUGUGUGUGUGUGUGUGUAUAUAAAAAUUUAUCGGAUGAGAGCUAAUAGUCCGAUUGGCACAUGCUCCCAAGCAUAAGGUAGAGGGUUUAGGAUUCGAUCCCUUCAUUU
rnacentral:misc_RNA from 1 species